UAUUCAUUGUACUUGCAACAACACGAAUUUAAGCAUUGUAGCUAGAAUUAGUUCGCACCGGUACGAUCAGCUGAUUUUACUAGAAACAGGCGACCUGUUUUGCAUGAGUUCCUACAGGUGGCACACCUGAAGAUACAUUAAUUUCGAACUAAUCUGCAAAAGUGCUACAAAAAUAUAAUAAUUCAACUUUGUAAAUUGAUUCUAAAGACAGAAAAAUUUAACCAUAAGAAACAAACUGAUAGUUAAAAUGUCUUUGAUGCAAAUAACCAACUCCACCGCGCUCCUGUCGGUGGGCCUCUUAUAACCGGCAUAGGGGUAUAUAAGGCAAACGCGGUCCGAAGAACACUCGAUCGCACCGACACCAGCUGAUCCAGGAUCAAGAAGUUUUAGGCAAGGACGCCACAAGGCAACGUGUUCAGUUUCAAAUUACUAAAAUGGAUCUAUCACAAGUUUUCCUUUGCACCCUGUUGUGCAUUUCUUUGAUGGUGGUGCUGUCUGACUCAGCACCGACGGAGCAUGCUUUGUCCAAGAGACAUGCACCUGAAGGAAUUAAAAAAGCAGUUGUGAAAUCCAGAAGACGGCGUGGUAUCAACAGGAACGUCCGAAUCCGUCAGAUGUACAUCUGCCUCGCUCUCAUCAGAGACAUAGCUGAUCACCGGAACUUCAACGACAACUUCCUGCCAACGUAUUGUCGACCUCUAUACUGUGCUCAGCUGGCAAGAACUGGCGUGCCAACCUACCCCUCAUUCUGUAGAAACAAUGUUGCAAUUACAGUGAUACAAAAGUAAUUGCUAUUCAAACAAUGAACAUAAUGAGAAAUCCGACAAACACAGGGUGCGUUUGGUUGACGUCUUUCAGUUUACCCGUCCACAACUGGUGAAUUUAUAACUGUCACGUGACUUUGACGCAAAAUUCAGAUUUUGUAUCAUUUGCUCUGACGUUACUAUAAAUGGCUUGCAUGUCUCAUUAUCAAAAGGUGCAAUAUUUCCUCAUGUAAUGGAGAAAUUCUGGAUAAAUAGUAAAUACCGUUCAUUGACGGACAAACGGCAUAAUUGUCGUGCGUUUGUAAACGUGAAAUCUGUAUCCAAGUCAAAGGGCAAUUUUCAUUCUAUAUUUCACAAAUGUUUUCACUGUUUGCUAUGCAAACUCUCCCCAUAAACUCUUCAUUGGAAAAUGUAAUGCAAAUUAAACUGGGUUUAUAACAUUGUUAUGUUUCAAUAAAAAUGAAAAAUUACA